GAUGAACGCUGACAGAAUGCUUAACACAUCAGCAAUUGAUUGGUGGCGGACGGGUGAGUAACGCGUAAAGAACUUACCUCACAGUUAGGGACAACAUUUGGAAACGAAUGCUAAUACCUAAUACUGUGAGAGAGCUUUGCGUCCAAUUAGCUAGUUGGAGAGGUAACGGCUCACCAAGGCUAUGAUGGGUAGCCGGCCUGAGAGGGUGAUCGGCCACAUGGGGACAGGGACACGGCCCGUACUCCUACGGGAGGCAUCAGUGUGGACUGUUGGACAAAGGACCAAAGUGUGAUCCAGCUAUUCUGUGUGCACGAUGAAGUUUUCGGAAUGUAAAGUGCUUUCAGUUAUGAAGCGGUACCAACCGACAAAGUGACGGCUAAAUACGUGCCAGCAGCCGCGGUAAUUC
rnacentral:rRNA from 1 species